rnacentral:rRNA from 1 species
UACGUAGGGUGCAAGGCGUUAAUCGGAAUUACUGGGCGUAAAGCGUGCGCAGGCGGUGAUGUAAGACAGUUGUGAAAUCCCCGGGCUCAACCUGGGAACUGCAUCUGUGACUGCAUCGCUGGAGUGCGGCAGAGGGGGAUGGAAUUCCGCGUGUAGCAGUGAAAUGCGUAGAUAUGCGGAGGAACACCGAUGGCGAAGGCAAUCCCCGUGGGCCUGCACUGACGCUCAUGCACGAAAGCGUGGGGAGCAAACAGG